rnacentral:rRNA from 1 species
GACGAACGCUGGCGGCGUGCUUAACACAUGCAAGUCGAACGGUGAAGCGCCUUCCUUUUUGGUGGGUGUGGAUGAGUGGCGAACGGGUGAGUAACACGUGAGUAACCUGCCCCCUUCUUCUGGAUAACCGCAUGAAAGUGUGGCUAAUACGGGAUAUUCUGGGUCUGUCGCAUGAUGGGUCUGGGAAAGAUAUUGUUUCGGUGGGGGAUGGGCUCGCGGCCUAUCAGCUUGUUGGUGGGGUGAUGGCCUACCAAGGCGGUGACGGGUAGCCGGCCUGAGAGGGUGGACGGUCACACAGGGACUGAGACACGGCCCAGACUCCUACGGGAGGCAGCAGGGGGGAAUAUUGCACGAUGGGCGCAAGCCUGAUGCAGCGACGCCGCGUGAGGGAUGGAGGCCUUCGGGUUGUGAACCUCUUUCGCCAGUGAAGCAGGCCUGCCUCGUUUGUGGGUGGGUUGACGGUAGCUGGAUAAGAAGCGCCGGCUAACUACGUG